rnacentral:rRNA from 1 species
GUGUCAGCCGCCGCGGUAAUACGUAGGGUGCGAGCGUUAAUCGGAAUUACUGGGCGUAAAGCGUGCGCAGGCGGUUCGUUGUGUCUGCUGUGAAAGCCCCGGGCUCAACCUGGGAAUGGCAGUGGAAACUGGCGAGCUGGAGUGUGGCAGAGGGGGGUGGAAUUCCAGGUGUAGCAGUGAAAUGCGUAGAGAUCUGGAGGAACACCGAUGGCGAAGGCAGCCCCCUGGGCUGACACUGACGCUCAGGCACGAAAGCGUGGGGAGCAAACAGGAUUAGAAACCCUGGUAGUCC